rnacentral:rRNA from 1 species
UACGGAGGGUGCAAGCGUUACUCGGAAUCACUGGGCGUAAAGGACGCGUAGGCGGGUUGGUAAGUCAGGUGUGAAAUCCUACAGCUUAACUGUAGAACUGCACUUGAAACUACCAACCUAGAGUAUGGGAGGGGGAGAUGGAAUUAGUGGUGUAGGGGUAAAAUCCGUAGAUAUCACUAGGAAUACCGAAAGCGAAGGCGAUCUCCUGGAACAUAACUGACGCUAAGGCGUGAAAGCGUGGGGAGCAAACAGGAUUAGAUACCCCAGUAGUCC